rnacentral:tRNA from 1 species
UCCCUGGUGGCUCAGAUGGUAAAGCAUCUGCCUGCAAUGCAGGGGACCUGGGUUCGACCCCUGGCUUGGGAA